CCUACGGGAGGCAGCAGUAGGGAAUAUUGCACAAUGAGGGAAACCCUGAUGCAGCGACACCGCGUGAGUGAAGAAGUACUUCGUUAUGUAAAGCUCUGUCAGCAGGGAAGAAAAUUACGGUACCUGAGUAAUAAGCCCCGGCUAGCUACGUGCCAGCAGCCGCGGUAAUACUUAGGGGGCACACGUUAUGCGGAUUUAAUGGGUGGAAAGGUAGCGGAGACGGCAGUGCAAGUCUGGAGGGAAAGGCGGGGGCUCAACCCCCGGACUGCUCUGGAAACUGGACGGCUGGAGUGCAGGAGAGGUAAGUGGAAUUCCAUGUGUAGCGGUGAAAUGCGUAGAUAUUAGGAGGAACACCAGUGGCGAAGGCGGCUUACUGGACUGUAACUGACGCUGAGGGUCGAAAGCGUGGGGAGCAAACAGGAUUAGAUACCCCUGUAGUC
rnacentral:rRNA from 1 species